AUUUGGCACCUGUGGAAUAAUCA
rnacentral:miRNA from 1 species